rnacentral:rRNA from 1 species
UACGGGGGGAGCAAGCGUUGUUCGGAUUUACUGGGCGUAAAGGGCGCGUAGGCGGUCAGCACAAGUCAGUUGUGAAAUCUCCGGGCUUAACCCGGAAAGGUCAACUGAUACUGUGCGACUAGAGUGCGGAAGGGGCAACUGGAAUUCUCGGUGUAGCGGUGAAAUGCGCAGAUAUCAGGAGGAACACCGGUGGCGAAGGCGGAUCUCUGGGCCUUACCUGACGCUCAGGUGCGAAAGCUAGGGGAGCGAACAGG